rnacentral:lncRNA from 1 species
UGAGAAACGUGAGUUUGUCAUCAUUUUUUAUCUAGACAUAGGAUAGGUUGUGUGAAAAUAUUACUGAUGUUUAACGUUAAAAAUGGACCAAAAGAUUAAUGCUAAACAACAUUUGACAUGUUUGAACGAACAUAAAUAGAUUAUUUACUAGGUUUUUUUAGCUUUUCGGCGUGAUUUUACCAGCCCCCCAACCACGUUUUGUGGGAGCAUAAUGAACGCUAAGUACUUGGUGUUAUUUGGACAUAAAUUAUGAACUUUGUCAAAAGAAAACACAUUUGUUCCGGACCUGGAAUGCCUUCCGGACCUGGGAUCCUGCCUUCUGAUGGAGAUAAUCAAAGACAGCCGUUACACAGACAUAUCUCAACAUCAACUGUUCAGAGGAGAAUGAGUGAAUCAGGCCGAAUUGCUGCAAAGAAACCACUACUAAAUAACACCAAUAAUAAGAAGAGACUUGCUUGGGCCAAGAAACACGAGCAGUGUAAAUUAAACCGGUGGAAUCUGUCCUUUCGUCUGAUGAGUCCAAAUUUGAGAUUUUUGGUUCCAACCGCCAUGUCUUUGUGAGAUGCAAAAAUUCAAGGCACACUUAACCAGCAUGGCUACCACAGCAUUCUGCAGCGAUACACCAUUCCAUCUGGUUUGAGCUUAGUGGAACUAUCAUUUGUUUAUCAACAGUACAAUGACCCGACACCUCCAGGCUGUGUAAGGUCUAUUUGACCAAGAAGGAGAAUGAUCGAGUGCUGCAUCAGCUGGCCUGGCCUCCACCAUCACCUGACCUCAUUGAGAUGGUUUGGGAUGAGUUGGACCACCGAGUAUAGGAAAAGCAGCUAACAAGUGCUCAGCAUAUGUGGGAACUCCUUCAAGACUGUUAGAAUAGCAUUCCAGGUGAAGAUGGUUGAGAGAAGGCCAAGAGUGUGAAAAGCUGUCACUAAGGUUAAAGGGUGGCUAUUUUGAAGAUUCUCAUCUAAAAUAUAUUUUGAUUUGUUUAACACUUUUUUUGGGGUACUGCAUUAUUUCAUAUGUGUUAUUUCAAAGUUUUGAUAUCCUCACUAUUCAACAAUGUAGAAAAUUGUAAAAAUAAAGAAAAACCCUUGAAUGAGUAGGUGUGUCC